GGCUCAGUAGCUGGAGCAGCUACGUGCAGCGUAGGGGCUUUUCUCUUAGGGGUUUCCUUGCCAUAGCGUAUGGGAGAUGGUGUUAGGCGGGUUAGGAAUUAAUAAAUGCCAUAGAGAGGCAUCCUGCGCUGUAGGAAUGAGGACAGAGAAGGGGGAAAGUUUCUGGGGGAGAAAAUAGUUUUAAAUUGGGCCUAGAAAGACAAGGCAUGAAUUUGUUUCUCUUUACUCACACGUUUUCAUAGAGGAAUAUAUUAGCUUUAGAAACUGGAAAGCAAAUGGAAGAAAAUUAAAAUAACCUGCCAGAGAAAGCCAUUGUCAAUAUCUUGGUGUCUACCUUCCACGCUUGUUUCUUUGCAUACACACUUGGAAAGUGAGGUACUAUACGACCUGUUUAGUAACGUUAAAAUAAUUUAAAAAAAAAUCUUAACAGGGCAGUUAAUGUUAAUUAUAACACUUUGGGCCGGGCGCAGCGGCUCAUGCCUGUAAUCCCAGCACUUUGGGAGGCCGAGGUGGGCGGAUCACGAGGUCAGGAGAUCGAGACCAUCCUGGCUAACACGGUGAAACCUCGUCUCUACUAAAAAAUACAAAAAAA
rnacentral:lncRNA from 1 species